rnacentral:rRNA from 1 species
GAUGAACGCUGGCGGUGUGCUUAACACAUGCAAGUCGAACGGUGAACGAGGGAGCUUGCUCCCUCCGGAUCAGUGGCGAACGGGUGAGUAACACGUGAGCAAUCUGCCCUGGACUCUGGGAUAAGCGUUGGAAACGACGUCUAAUACCGGAUACGAGGCGUGGGGGCAUCCCCAACGCCUGGAAAGAACUUCGGUCCAGGAUGAGCUCGCGGCCUAUCAGCUAGUUGGUGAGGUAACGGCUCACCAAGGCGACGACGGGUAGCCGGCCUGAGAGGGUGACCGGCCACACUGGGACUGAGACACGGCCCAGACUCCUACGGGAGGCAGCAGUGGGGAAUAUUGCACAAUGGGCGCAAGCCUGAUGCAGCAACGCCGCGUGAGGGACGACGGCCUUCGGGUUGUAAACCUCUUUCGCCUAUGACGAAGCGCAAGUGACGGUAAUAGGUAAAGAAGCACCGGCCAACUACGUGCCAGCCGCCGCCGUAAUAC